rnacentral:misc_RNA from 1 species
CUGCCUUUGCUGCGCUGAUUGACUGCACAACAAAAGAACAAUUAGUCAGCACAACUAUUUCAUACUCUUGUUUGUUAAAUUCACGCUUGUUUAUAUACUGUUCUGAUGAUAACAUCAAAGCUCAAAAUCAGAUUUUUCCCACCAAUGAUGUCAUCUCAAAAUGUUAGAAAAUUGUGCUAAAAAACAUGUAACAACUAGCAAGGAUAAACUUUAAUUCAAAAUAUGUUUCAACUGGGAGAAUUGAAUCCGUUACUGUUACCUUGUUAAGAAUGCGCUGCAGCCG